rnacentral:rRNA from 1 species
UACGAAGGGGGCUAGCGUUGCUCGGAAUCACUGGGCGUAAAGGGUGCGUAGGCGGGUCUUUUAAGUCAGGGGUGAAAUCCUGGAGCUCAACUCCAGAACUGCCUUUGAUACUGAGGAUCUUGAGUUCGGGAGAGGUGAGUGGAACUGCGAGUGUAGAGGUGAAAUUCGUAGAUAUUCGCAAGAACACCAGUGGCGAAGGCGGCUCACUGGCCCGAUACUGACGCUGAGGCACGAAGGCGUGGGGAGCAAACAGG